GUUGGAGGGAAGGAGAGAGAGAGGGAGAAGGUUGGAGGGAGGGAGAGAGAAAGGGAGAAGGUUGGAGGGAGGGAGAGAGGGAGGUUGGAGGGAAGGAGAGAGAGAGGGAGAAGGUUGGAGGGAGGGAGAGAGAAAGGGAGAAGGUUGGAGGGAGGGAGGUUGGAGGGAAGGAGAGAGAGAGGGAGAAGGUUGGAGGGAGGGAGAGAGAAAGAAAGGGAGAAGGUUGGAGGGAGGGAGAGAGGAAAGGAGAGAGAGAGGGAGAAGGUUGGAGGGAGGGAGAGAGAGAGAAAGGGAGAAGGUUGGAGGGAGGGAGAGA
ensembl:lncRNA